rnacentral:rRNA from 1 species
GAUGAACGCUGGCGGCGUGCCUAAUACAUGCAAGUCGAGCGAACAGAUGAGGAGCUUGCUCCUCUGACGUUAGCGGCGGACGGGUGAGUAACACGUGGAUAACCUACCUAUAAGACUGGGAUAACUUCGGGAAACCGGAGCUAAUACCGGAUAAUAUAUUGAACCGCAUGGUUCAAUAGUGAAAGACGGUUUUGCUGUCACUUAUAGAUGGAUCCGCGCCGCAUUAGCUAGUUGGUAAGGUAACGGCUUACCAAGGCAACGAUGCGUAGCCGACCUGAGAGGGUGAUCGGCCACACUGGAACUGGGACACGGUCCAAAACCCUACGGGAGGCCGCAGUAGGGAAUCUUCCGCAAUGGGCGAAAGCCUGACGGAGCAACGCCGCGUGAGUGAUGAAGGUCUUCCGAUCGUAAAACUCUGUUAUUAGGGAAGAACAAAUGUGUAAGUAACUAUGCACGUCUUGACGGUACCUAAUCAGAAAGCCACGGCUAACUACGUG